UCCGUGAUAGUGUAGGGGUUAUCAUACUCGCCUCUCAUUGUAUCCUUGAUACUGCGAACGCGAGUGACCGGGGUUCGAUUCCCCGUCUCGGAA
rnacentral:tRNA from 1 species